UACGGAAGGGGCCAGCGUUGUUCGGAAUUACUGGGCGUAAAGCGCACGUAGGCGGCCUUGUAAGAUGGGGGUGAAAUCCCCGGGCUCAACCCGGGAACUGCCUUCAUGACUGCAAAGCUAGAGGAUGCGAGAGGUUAGCGGAAUUCCGAGUGUAGAGGUGAAAUUCGUAGAUAUUCGGAAGAACACCAGUGGCGAAGGCGGCUAACUGGCGCAUUUCUGACGCUGAGGUGAGAAAGCGUGGGGAGCAAACAGG
rnacentral:rRNA from 1 species